AUCGCUUCUCGGCCUUUUGGCUAAGAUCAAGUGUAGUAUCUGAAUUAGCUGACCCCCAACCCUCUCUACCUUCUCCCAUCCUUUGUCCCGGCCAAUACCGUCACAGACAACAUAUAUUUGGUGCUUAUUAUGUGCUCUGCACAGCUCUGUUCAUUUGGAGAAACAGCAAUCAGAGGUUUCCAAAGAGCGGCAGCACA